rnacentral:rRNA from 1 species
GAUGAACGCUGGCGGCGUGCCUAAUACAUGCAAGUCGAGCGAACGGACGAGAAGCUUGCUUUUCUGAUGUUAGCGGCGGACGGGUGAGUAACACGUGGAUAACCUACCUAUAAGACUGGGAUAACUUCGGGAAACCGGAGCUAAUACCGGAUAAUAUUUUGAACCGCAUGGUUCAAAAGUGAAAGACGGUCUUGCUGUCACUUAUAGAUGGAUCCGCGCUGCAUUAGCUAGUUGGUAAGGUAACGGCUUACCAAGGCAACGAUGCAUAGCCGACCUGAGGGGGGGAAGGCCCCCCCGGAACGUGAGACCGGGCCCAAGCACCUAGGGGCGGCAGCGGUGGGAACUUGUCCCCAGUGGGGGAAAUCCUGCGGGAGGAGCGCGGGGUGGGUGAAGAAGGGUUGCGUGCGGGAAAACUCUUUUUUGGGGGAAAACCAAUUUGGAAGGUAACGUGGCCAGUUUGACGGUAACCGAUAAAGAAGCCCCGGCUAACCCCGGG